UAUUACAGGCAGACUUUAGCCGAGCUUCUUCAAUAAGCGGUCCCCAUCCGGACUUCUACAGUAACCAGACUCCACCCAAGUUUCUACGACGAUCGACCGCCUUCUGAAUUUUAUCCGAGCUCCUACAAGAGCCGGAUCCCAGCCGAACUUCUGCAGUGGAUGGAUUCCAGAUGAAUUUCUACAACAGAUGGGCUCCACCAGCCGGAUUUCUACUCCAAACUUCUUUCGAACUUCAUCAAUGA
rnacentral:lncRNA from 1 species